AGUCGAGGGGCAGCAUGAACUUAGCAUGCUAAGUUUGAUGGCGACCGGCGCACGGGUGAGUAACACGUAUCCAACCUGCCGAUGACUCGGGGAUAGCCUUUCGAAAGAAAGAUUAAUACCCGAUGGCAUAGUUCUUCCGCAUGGUAGAACUAUUAAAGAAUUUCGGUCAUCGAUGGGGAUGCGUUCCAUUAGGUUGUUGGCGGGGUAACGGCCCACCAAGCCUUCGAUGGAUAGGGGUUCUGAGAGGAAGGUCCCCCACAUUGGAACUGAGACACGGUCCAAACUCCUACGGGAGGCAGCAGUGAGGAAUAUUGGUCAAUGGACGAGAGUCUGAACCAGCCAAGUAGCGUGAAGGAUGACUGCCCUAUGGGUUGUAAACUUCUUUUAUACGGGAAUAAAGUGAGGCACGCGUGCCUUUUUGUAUGUACCGUAUGAAUAAGGAUCGGCUAACUCCGUGCCAGCAGCCGCGGUAAUACGGAGGAUCCGAGCGUUAUCCGGAUUUAUUGGGUUUAAAGGGAGCGUAGGCGGACGCUUAAGUCAGUUGUGAAAGUUUGCGGCUCAACCGUAAAAUUGCAGUUGAUACUGGGUGUCUUGAGUACAGUAGAGGCAGGCGGAAUUCGUGGUGUAGCGGUGAAAUGCUU
rnacentral:rRNA from 1 species